rnacentral:rRNA from 1 species
AUUGAACGCUGGCGGCAGGCCUAACACAUGCAAGUCGAGCGGAUGAAGGGAGCCUGCUCCUGGAUUCAGCGGCGGACGGGUGAGUAAUGCCUAGGAAUCUGCCUGGUAGUGGGGGAUAACGUCCGGAAACGGGCGCUAAUACCGCAUACGUCCUGAGGGAGAAAGUGGGGGAUCUUCGGACCUCACGCUAUCAGAUGAGCCUAGGUCGGAUUAGCUAGUUGGUGGGGUAAAGGCCUACCAAGGCGACGAUCCGUAACUGGUCUGAGAGGAUGAUCAGUCACACUGGAACUGAGACACGGUCCAGACUCCUACGGGAGGCAGCAGUGGGGAAUAUUGGACAAUGGGCGAAAGCCUGAUCCAGCCAUGCCGCGUGUGUGAAGAAGGUCUUCGGAUUGUAAAGCACUUUAAGUUGGGAGGAGGGGCAGUAAGUUAAUACCUUGCUGUUUUGACGUUACCAACAGAAUAAGCACCGGCUAACUUCGUG